GAUGAACGCUGGCGGCGUGCUUAACACAUGCAAGUCGAACGGGAAAUCUUUCAUUGAGCCUUCGGUGGAUUUGAUUUAUUUCUAGUGGCGGACGGGUGAGUAACGCGUGGGUAACCUGCCUUAUACAGGGGGAUAACAGUCAGAAAUGGCUGCUAAUACCGCAUAAGCGCACAGAGCUGCAUGGCUCAGUGUGAAAAACUCCGGUGGUAUAAGAUGGACCCGCGUUGGAUUAGCUAGUUGGUGGGGUAACGGCCCACCAAGGCGACGAUCCAUAGCCGGCCUGAGAGGGUGAACGGCCACAUUGGGACUGAGACACGGCCCAGACUCCUACGGGAGGCAGCAGUGGGGAAUAUUGCACAAUGGGGGAAACCCUGAUGCAGCGACGCCGCGUGAAGGAAGAAGUAUCUCGGUAUGUAAACUUCUAUCAGCAGGGAAGAUAGUGACGGUACCUGACUAAGAAGCCCCGGCUAACUACGUG
rnacentral:rRNA from 1 species